rnacentral:rRNA from 1 species
GACGAACGCUGGCGGCGUGCUUAACACAUGCAAGUCGAACGAUGAAGCCGGAGCUUGCUCUGGUGAAUUAGUGGCGAACGGGUGAGUAACACGUGAGUAACCUGCCCUUGACUCUGGGAUAACUGCGGGAAACUGUAGCUAAUACCGGAUACGACCCUCGGAGGCAUCUCCUGGGGGUGGAAAGAAUUUCGGUCAAGGAUGGACUCGCGGCCUAUCAGCUAGUUGGUGAGGUAAAGGCUCACCAAGGCGACGACGGGUAGCCGGCCUGAGAGGGUGACCGGCCACACUGGGACUGAGACACGGCCCAGACUCCUACGGGGGGCAGCAGUGGGGAAUAUUGCACAAUGGGCGCAAGCCUGAUGCAGCAACGCCGCGUGAGAGAUGACGGCCUUCGGGUUGUAAACCUCUUUUAGCAUGGAAGAAGCGAAAGUGACGGUACCUGCAGAAAAAGCACCGGCUAACUACGUGCCAGCCGCCGCGGUAA